rnacentral:rRNA from 1 species
UACGUAGGGUGCAAGCGUUGUCCGGAUUUAUUGGGCGUAAAGCGCUCGCAGGCGGCUCGAUGCGUCGUGCGUGAAACCCCCCGGCUCAACUGGGGAGGGUCGUGCGAUACGGUCGGGCUGGAGGCCAGUAGGGGGAUGCGGAAUUCCGGGUGUAGUGGUGGAAUGCGUAGAGAUCCGGAGGAACACCAGCGGCGAAGGCGGCAUCCUGGACUGGUCCUGACGCUCAGGAACGGAAGCGUGGGGAGCGAUCCGG